rnacentral:rRNA from 1 species
CCUACGGGGUGCAGCAGUGGGGAAUAUUGCACAAUGGGGGAAACCCUGAUGCAGCGACGCCGCGUGAGUGAAGAAGUAAUUCGUUACGUAAAGCUCUAUCAGCAGGGAAGAAACACUGACCUUACGGUCAGCAGACGGUACCUGAGUAAGAAGCCCCGGCUAACUCCGUGCCAGCAGCCGCGGGAAUACGUAGGGGGCAAGCGUUAUCCGGAUUUACUGGGUGUAAAGGGAGCGUAGACGGUGCGGCAAGUCUGGAGUGAAAUGCCGAAGCUUAACUCCGGAACUGCUGUGGAAACUGGUGAACUAGAGUGCGGGAGGGGUAAGCGGAAUUCCUAGUGUAGCGGUGAAAUGCGUAGAUAUUAGGAGGAACACCGGUGGCGAAGGCGGCUUACUGGACCGUAACUGACGUUGAGGCUCGAAAGCGUGGGGAGCAAACAGGAUUAGAUACCCGGGUAGUC